GGUUCGGUAGCGCCGAACUCCAUCCGCCGGGCCAGGACACCGACAACAACCUGGAUGGAGGCGGGGGACCCACCGGUCCACCCGAAGGGACCUGGGGCCGACCGGCCCCUAGGGGUGAAGCCGAUACGACAUCGGCCGGGUGACCUCUCCGACCCGAACCCGACAGCUGACCUCGAAGGCGCCCAAGAGAGGACCU
rnacentral:sRNA from 2 species